UACGUAGGGUGCGAGCGUUGUCCGGAAUUAUUGGGCGUAAAGGGCUCGUAGGCGGUUUGUCGCGUCGGGCGUGAAAUCCACUGGCUUAACUGGUGGCUUGCUUUCGAUACGGGCAGACUGGAGGUAUGCAGGGGAGAACGGAAUUCCUGGUGUAGCGGUGAAAUGCGCAGAUAUCAGGAGGAACACCGGUGGCGAAGGCGGGACUCUGGGCCGAUACUGACGCUGAGGAGCGAAAGCGUGGGGAGCGAACAGG
rnacentral:rRNA from 1 species